CCUUGGUAGCGCAGCUAACGCGUGAAGUUGACCGCCUGGGGAGUACGGUCGCAAGAUUAAAACUCAAAGGAAUUGACGGGGACCCGCACAAGCGGUGGAUGAUGUGGAUUAAUUCGAUGCAACGCGAAAAACCUUACCUACCCUUGACAUGUCUGGAAUCCUGAAGAGAUUUAGGAGUGCUCGCAAGAGAACCGGAACACAGGUGCUGCAUGGCUGUCGUCAGCUCGUGUCGUGAGAUGUUGGGUUAAGUCCCGCAACGAGCGCAACCCUUGUCAUUAGUUGCUACGAAAGGGCACUCUAAUGAGACUGCCGGUGACAAACCGGAGGAAGGUGGGGAUGACGUCAAGUCCUCAUGGCCCUUAUGGGUAGGGCUUCACACGUCAUACAAUGGUCGGGACAGAGGGUCGCCAACCCGCGAGGGGGAGCCAAUCCCAGAAACCCGAUCGUAGUCCGGAUCGCAGUCUGCAACUCGACUGCGUGAAGUCGGAAUCGCUAGUAAUCGCGGAUCAGCAUGUCGCGGUGAAUACGUUCCCGGGUCUUGUACACACCGCCCGUCACACCAUGGGAGUGGGUUUUACCAGAAGUAGUUAGCCUAACCGCAAGGGGGGCGAUUACCACGGUAGGAUUCAUGACUGGGGUGAAGUCGUAACAAGGUAGCCGUAUCGGAAGGUGCGGCUGGAUCACCUCCUUUC
rnacentral:rRNA from 1 species